AUCAAAUGAGAUACUAGAGAAACAAAGCCCAAACAAAUGAACAUGCUGUAUAGAAGUAGGAUUAGAACUGAAUACACAAUGUCAUUUUUGCUUUUAACAACUAAGUAUUUAUACAUAUAUAUUAUAAAGAGCCUAGCAACAAAUCUAGGGAAUUGCUAAGAACACAGUAGCUUCUGUUCUACACUCCAUAUGGCUUUCCAGCUCACAUAACAGCUGCUAACGAGUUAUAGGCAGCAGGCUUUGUCGACUCACCACCAGUGUGUAAAGGCUGACUGAGUUGCGUUUGCGUGAGCCAAUGUUAUUAAAAGCUCAUCAAUCAGAUGAUCAUUGUUUCCGGUGACCAAUCCCUGACCACCAUUGCUUGCCCCACCUACACACUUCUCUGGACUAAAUUUACAAGCAUUCAAAAGAAUUACGAGUCAAUUCCACUAAUUUGACAGCAGUGUUUCAAUGAUGUUUAUAUUUUCAACUAAUAUUUUUUAACUGAUAUUUCAUUGUAUCACACCAUUACUGUGUUGAUUACAUUGAAACAGUUACUACAUUUACAUUGAGAUGUCAGCCUGUGCAUUGCAUAGCAGCAUGUGGCCGAUCAAUGACCACUGUGCCCACAUUUGUACAUAAUUAUGGUAUGUAAAAUAAGAAAUGUCAUAUAUUCGGACCUAGAGUACAUGUUCCUGAAUAAUGUCCAACAUUACAAAUAGCGCUUUCCAAAUCAUAGUAUGUUGAAUUUAAAUAUCUCAAAAGGUCACCGAGUGGUCUGUUAUCUCCAGAAGAUUUUGGAAGCAAAGAUCUGUGGACCACUGAUGAUGCCCACGACUCCUUGCAAGAGGGAGAAGUUGUUUUGCGGCAGGACAGACAGGUGUACACGGUACGAGGAAAAAAAUUAAUAAAUCAAAUUGCAAGAACUCGAGCUGCACAAAUCAUAGCGAAUUAAAAUGAUAAAGCACACACUAUAGAUUAUUGAAUAAAAAAAAGCUCUGAAAUGUUUUUUCCAGUGACACUGUCCAGAAAAAAAGCACCAAACCUUCCAACGACUCAGAGCUUGAAUAUUUUUUGUUACACACUCAAAAGCAUGCAAUCUCUCAACCUUUUACUAAUAUAAAUAAGCAAAUUUGCAAUAAUCAGCAAUGAUUUGUCAUCCUAUUUUAAAUGACCUCAGAAAACCUGCGGUUUUGAUGCAAAUAACGAUUUAAUUCAUAUGCAAACAACCAACUACGUCACCCAGCGACUUCUUAAGCCUUUUUGAGUAUAUUGUAGUGACUUUUCUCUAAAGAUUUGGGAACCACUGGGUGCAAAACGUGCAUGAACCAAAGCUAAAGGGAAACACGUUUGCACGUGGAGCGCGGGCCAUUUGAGGACGGUGGAGGGGGGGGGUGAAAGUAUGACAAAACACCAAGAGCAAGCACAAAUUUUGUAUUAAAAUCUAAUUCUGCACCGGUAUUUAGCAGGUGUGUUUAUAAAUGUGGCGUUCCAGGGGUUGAGGAUUAAACGUAAGGCUCGUGGUGUGUUGUGUUGAAAGCUUGAACAUCGCGCAGCCUCCGCGGUCUCGGGAAGCAGCGGAGUAAAGCGUCUUCGAUGAAGCUACAGCACGAACCUGCUCCGAGGCCAGAUUUGCUGGCCAGACACGUAAUACCCUUUGGCCUCCCUGUCCUCAAAUGGAAAUAAUGGAGCUGUCUGAUCAUACUAUCUAGCAGCCAAAAGCUAGCAACGUGGGGGAGAGACAAGGUAAACGAUCAUCUGAUAAAUUGACUGUCCUUCAUUGGCACGAGUUCAACAGCGAGGGAGAAAGAGGCAAAGCUUGAAAAUGAAAACAUGUCAAACCAUAUGGAAAUACAGUGUGUUUCUUUUUGAGAUUCAUUCAUGUGAAAGAAAACCAGAAUAUGUUUUAUCAACACAAUCAUAGAUGCAGACGGUGUUCACUAUGCUUUAAAUCAAAGCCAGGUUGUCAUAAGUGAAAACAGUUGAUUUAUUAAAAAAUUCAUGGGAGCUCAGUUUUUACAAAGCAUUUGGGAAGCACACAUCGAAAGAAGAAAAAAGUAUAUAUGGAAUUUGUAGUGCCCCUGGUUUGGACCUGAGCUCUAAAAACAGCCAAACAACAAUACCAAGCAGGUGGGAUGAGCUUUGCCAGGGGGAGGCCCUCUAUUCUGGGAAUAAAGACUUUUGCCUCCCCUCUUGUCCCAGAACAAUCAGAGCAUGCAAGGACAGACACCAUGCUUUUCAUUCCCUCUGGCAAAAAGCUUUCGAGUGCCAAGCUAAUGAAGGGAGCACCCACUCUCUGCUUAGUGCCCCAUCCAGUGAGAGGUAAGAGUCUGGGCAAGAGUCUUUUACCUUAAGGAAGCCAGUGUGUUGCAGCAUUUAUAUUGUUACUUUUCAUAUUUUUGUGUGACAUAUGAAACUCUGAUCUGAAGAUCGGAUAACCGCCAUCCAGUACUGUAGUACUGAGACCUUAAUAGGAUGCAAGUCAUUUCAUUUACGAGAUGGGAAUGAUAUGACUUUGGGCAAAAGUCCUGGGUUCAAUCACAAGGUUAUCCCAGAGUCAUCUGGCCAUCAAUGCAUGGAAGGGUAUCCACUCUCAUGGCUGGGUUAGAAUCCUGUUACAAGGUUGCGAAGAACUUUACCAAGAAACAUGGCGAGGAUGUCAAACAUGACACUGUUGAUGAAGUUGGUAAAGAAAACUUUGAUAAUUAUGUAGAGGACUUUUUGUUAAUAAAGCUAUAUUUUGUACAGCAA